rnacentral:rRNA from 1 species
AGAGUUUGAUCCUGGCUCAGAUUGAACGCUGGCGGAACGCUUUACACAUGCAAGUCGAACGGUAACGUGGGGAGGAGCUUGCUCCACCCUGACGACGAGUGGCGAACGGGUGAGUAAUACAUCGGAACGUGUCCGCUCGUGGGGGACAACCAGCCGAAAGGUUGGCUAAUACCGCAUGAGUUCUACGGAAGAAAGAGGGGGACCCGCAAGGGCCUCUCGCGAGCGGAGCGGCCGAUGACUGAUUAGCCGGUUGGUGAGGUAACGGCUCACCAAAGCAACGAUCAGUAGCUGGUCUGAGAGGACGACCAGCCACACUGGGACUGAGACACGGCCCAGACUCCUACGGGAGGCAGCAGUGGGGAAUUUUGGACAAUGGGCGCAAGCCUGAUCCAGCUAUUCCGCGUGUGGGAUGAAGGCCCUCGGGUUGUAAACCACUUUUGUAGAGAACGAAAAGACACCUACGAAUAAAGGGUGUUGCUGACGGUACUCUAAGAAUAAGCACCGGCUAACUACGUGCCAGCAGCCGCGGUAAUACGUAGGGUGCGAGCGUUAAUCGGAAUUACUGGGCGUAAAGGGUGCGCAGGCGGUUGAGUAAGACAGAUGUGAAAUCCCCGAGCUUAACUCGGGAAUGGCAUAUGUGACUGCUCGACUAGAGUGUGUCAGAGGGAGGUGGAAUUCCACGUGUAGCAGUGAAAUGCGUAGAUAUGUGGAAGAACACCGAUGGCGAAGGCAGCCUCCUGGGACAUAACUGACGCUCAGGCACGAAAGCGUGGGGAGCAAACAGGAUUAGAUACCCUGGUAGUCCACGCCCUAAACGAUGUUAACUAGUUGUUGGGAAGUAAUAUUCUCAGUAACGCAGCCAACGCGAGAAGUUAACCGCCUGGGAAGUACGGUCGCAAGACUAAAACUCAAAGGAAUUGACGGGGACCCGCACAAGCGGUGGAU